GAAUCUGCCUGGUAGUGGGGGAUAACGUUCGGAAACGGACGCUAAUACCGCAUACGUCCUACGGGAGAAAGCAGGGGACCUUCGGGCCUUGCGCUAUCAGAUGAGCCUAGGUCGGAUUAGCUAGUUGGUGGGGUAAUGGCUCACCAAGGCGACGAUCCGUAACUGGUCUGAGAGGGUGAUCAGUCACACUGGAACUGAGACACGGUCCAGACUCCUACGGGAGGCAGCAGUGGGGAAUAUUGGACAAUGGGCGAAAGCCUGAUCCAGCCAUGCCGCGUGUGUGAAGAAGGUCUUCGGAUUGUAAAGCACUUUAAGUUGGGAGGAAGGGUUGUAGAUUAAUACUCUGCAAUUUUGACGUUACCGACAGAAUAAGCACCGGCUAACUCUGUGCCAGCAGCCGCGGUAAUACAGAGGGUGCAAGCGUUAAUCGGAAUUACUGGGCGUAAAGCGCGCGUAGGUGGUUUGUUAAGUUGGAUGUGAAAUCCCCGGGCUCAACCUGGGAACUGCAUUCAAAACUGACUGACUAGAGUAUGGUAGAGGGUGGUGGAAUUUCCUGUGUAGCGGUGAAAUGCGUAGAUAUAGGAAGGAACACCAGUGGCGA
rnacentral:rRNA from 1 species